rnacentral:rRNA from 1 species
GAUGAACGCUGGUGGCGUGCUUAACACAUGCAAGUCGAGCGAAGCACUUUACUUGGAUUUCUUCGGAAUGUCGAGUUUUGCGACUGAGCGGCGGACGGGUGAGUAACGCGUGGGUAACCUGCCUCAUACAGGGGGAUAACAGUUAGAAAUGACUGCUAAUACCGCAUAAGACACAGCACCGCAUGGUGCAGGGGUAAAAACUCCGGUGGUAUGAGAUGGACCCGCGUCUGAUUAGCUAGUUGGUGGGGUAACGGCCUACCAAGGCGACGAUCAGUAGCCGGCCUGAGAGGGCGACCGGCCACAGUGGGACUGAGACACGGCCCAAACUCCUACGGGAGGCAGCAGUGGGGAAUAUUGCACAAUGGGGGAAACCCUGAUGCAACGACGCCGCGUGAAGGAAGAAGUAUUUCGGUAUGUAAACUUCUAUCAGCAGGGAAGAAAAUGACGGUACCUGACUAAGAAGCCCCGGCUAACUACGUGCCAGCAGCCGCGGUAA